rnacentral:lncRNA from 1 species
CUCCUAGUCACCCCUGUCCCCUGAAGGCCUGUCACCUGAAGACAUCUCCACCAGAGUGACAGCUCUGGCCCUAGAUGGCCUGGGGCCUCUCCCCAGGGGUUGUUUGCAGGAUGAGGUGGAUCACCUACAGGCUCUGGAAACUAGGAUGCCCCGGCUCGCCUUUCAGCGCGGCUCUCCAGGCCGAGCAAACAAUUGUUCCAUCUUCAUCUCAUAAGCAGAGGGCCUGAAUCCUGAUCCUCCCAGGCAGGGCACUGUUUUGCUAUGUAGUCCAGAAUAGCAUCAAAUUCGUGGCUCUCUUCCUGUCUCAGCCUCUAGAAAGCACAUCGCUUCACAGUGAGUUUCAAAAGAGGUUGAGGGCAAAGAAACUCGGACCUUUGGGCGGACUGCUCUGCCCAUUCCUCUCUCCAGGCCUGGCUGGCUCCACCAAUCUUUGAGGCCCUGAGAAGAGCACCGGUGUCGCCGACCACUCCUCCUGACAGCCCGCAAUGGUCCAGUCACGCGGAGCCAUCCAUCAGUGUCCUGGGAAAAGAGUGGCCCUAAGGAGCCUUUCCCGCACACUUUUGGAAGCUGCUGGGUGCCUUAGGGCACCGAGGGGCAAGACAAGGAAGGAUGCCAGAGGUGGGCAGACGCGGGAAGGCAAGCCCUGGCUCAGAACUGCGGACGCCCUUCCCGAAAUCCCUCAGGCUCCGGCCAGUGGCCGCGAUGAUGAGGCUCUCAUCUCGGGAAAGCUGGUGCAGCGGCCAAGGCGCCGGGCUGCCAGCCAGGCCUGCUGUCUAGGCGGCUCCACCUGGAUGCAGAAAGCGAGGGGUGCAGGG